CGCACCUUGCGCUCCUUGGUAUUCCGAGGAGCAUGCCUGUUUGAGUGUCAUUUAAUUCUCAACCUUGCGAAUUUUGUUCGAAAGGCUUGGAUAUGAGGGCUUUGCUGGCUUCAAGUCAACUCCCUUGAAAUGUAUUAGCGAGUGAUCAGACUUCGUCUAUUGGUGUGAUAAUUAUCUACGCCAUUGGAUUGUCUUGGUUUUCACUGCUUCCAAUUUACAAUUGUCUUCCUACAAUUCUAUUUGACCAUUUGACCUCAAAUCAGGUAGGACUACCCGCUGAACUUAA
rnacentral:misc_RNA from 1 species